CGGGCGUCUUAACAUGCAAGUCGAGCGGCAGGCAGCAACGCCGAGAGCGGCGGACUGGUGAGUAACACGUGGAUAACGUACCCCGAUGUCUGGGACAGCCUGUAGAAAUAGAGGGUAAUACCGGAUAGAUCACUGUUUACGUGAGGUAGACAGCGGGAAAGGAGCUUCGGCUCCGCGCCGGGAACGGUCUGCGGCCCAUCAGCUAGACGGCGGGGUAAGUGCCCGCCGUGGCGAGGACGGGUAUCCGGCCUGAGAGGGCGGACGGACACAUUGGGACUGAGAUACGGCCCAGACUCCUACGGGAGGCAGCAGGUAAGAAUAUUCCGCAAUGGGGGGAACCCUGACGGAGCGACGCCGCGUGAACGAAGAAGGCCGGAAGGUUGUAAAGUUCUUUUCUGUUCGAGGAAUAAGUGUAGGAGGAAAUGCCUGCAUGGUGACGGUAGGGCAGGAAUAAGCACCGGC
rnacentral:rRNA from 1 species